CCUACGGGAGGCAGCAGUCGGGAAUAUUGCUCAAUGGGGGAAACCCUGAAGCAGCAACGCCGCGUGGCGGAUUAAGGUUUUCGGAUUGUAAACUCCUUUUGUUAGAGAAGAUAAUGACGGUAUCUAACGAAUAAGCACCGGCUAACUCCGUGCCAGCAGCCGCGGUAAUACGGAGGGUGCAAGCGUUACUCGGAAUCACUGGGCGUAAAGAGCGCGUAGGCGGGAUAGCAAGUCAGAUGUGAAAUCCUUUGGCUUAACCAUAGAACUGCAUUUGAAACUGUUAUUCUAGAGUAUGGGAGAGGUAGGUGGAAUUCUUGGUGUAGGGGUAAAAUCCGUAGAGAUCAAGAGGAAUACUUAUUGCGAAGGCGACCUGCUAGAACAUAACUGACGCUGAUGCGCGAAAGCGUGGGGAGCAAACAGGAUUAGAUACCCCGGUAGUC
rnacentral:rRNA from 1 species